rnacentral:rRNA from 1 species
UCCGUAGGUGGAUAAUUAAGUCAGGGGUGAAAGUCUGCAGCUCAACUGUAGAAUUGCCCUUGAUACUGGUUGUCUUGAAUCAUUAUGAAGUAGUUAGAAUAUGUAGUGUAGCGGUGAAAUGCAUAGAUAUUACAUAGAAUACCAAUUGCGAAGGCAGAUUACUAAUAAUGUAUUGACACUGAUGGACGAAAGCGUGGGGAGCGAACAGGAUUAGAUACCCUGGUAGUCC